AGAUUCAUAUUGUUUUAAAUGUUUGCUCUGCUUACCGCGCGCGAACUACAUCGCUGCAUUCAAAAACUCGCCGUCCAACCUGGUAAAGCAUGUCGAGAUUUGUGCAGCCAUUUGAAGAUUUGUUAACCAGCAAGUAUGUGGAAGUCCAGGCGAAUCCCCAGGAGCACAUGGCCUGCCAGACCCAGUUUAAUCCUAUAAGUUCUAAAAGGAGCAUGUUUGUUUGAGAUUUUCAAGAAAUUGUCCCUAAAGAAAGUCCAAGCCAUUUCAACAUCUGGAAUGAGACUGAUCCUGCCCCAAUCACAAUAGUGCAGGUCGUGUAAAAACGAAUGUUCUGAAAAAUGUUUAAAAUGACAUUUUUGGAGAAAAUGGGGGUUGGUUUUAGAGAUCUUAGUGUUGCGUAUAGCUGCAGUGGCACAGUGGUCACUCGGAUCAUUAACAAAAAUACCAGUUGCAAUAUAUUUGUGCGGAACAUUUGUCAGGAAAAGAUUAAUAAGGAGGAGUGCAGUGCUGUAGUUUUAGUAAAGUAAGUGGAGAUCAUGGUAAAAGUCUAACUUUUCGCGUUUUUUGAAAUAAACAGUCGAUGAAAAUAGA